rnacentral:lncRNA from 1 species
UGCCUCCCGAAAGCCACCCCAAGAGCUAACUGGGGGAUGCUCCUGAUGGCUUGUGUAGAACUCCCAGCUGCCAGACUGCAUUUAGCCCAGUGUUUAUUUAUUUUCCUGGCUCUUACAGAAGGGCUCUUCAGUCGAGUCCGCAGGAGCCUGGCAGCAAACCAGAAAGGUGGAAGACAAAGGGAGAAAUGGAGUGCAGGAAGGGAAACCCCUCAGCCUCCACAGAGACUAACGCUGCCUGCUGUUGCAUACAGAUUGCCGCCGAGAAAAAAUGCGCAAAGACCAGGAAGGGAAAGGAGCAGAAGGGGAAGACAGUGAGGAAGGAGAAGGAGGAGAAGGGGAAGACGGUGAGGAAGGAGAAGGAGGAGAAGGGGAAGAAGGUGAAGGAGAAGGAGGACAAGAUGAGAAAAGAGGAGAAGGUGAAGCAGGAGAAGGUGAAGGAGGAGAAAGGGAAGAAGGUGAAGGAGGACAAGAUGAGGAAAGAGGAGAAGGUGAAGCAGGAGAAGAAGGUGAAGUUUGUGCAGCAAGAGAAGGUGAAGGUCGUGAAACAGGAGAUGAAGGUGAAGAACGUGAAGCAGGAGAAGGUGAGGAAGGUGAAGCAGGAGGAGAAGAGUAGAUUUUCAAAACAUGCCCAGAAGUUCUUGGCUGAAGAGGAAAAAAAGAACAAAAUGCUGAAGAAACAGAAAAAGAAGCAAGCCAAGCAGCAAGAGUUGGAAGCAGAGAAGACGGAAGCCCAGCCAGAAGAAGUGGAGAUGCCAGUGGCUCAGGAAUCCUCUGCCUUUGAGGAAGAAUAUUCCAGCUCUCUGUCUGAGAGCGAGACAGAGCAGUCCAGCUCCGGCUCCAGCUCCAGCCACAGCCUGAUCAAGAGGAUGAUGGGGGAGCAGGAAGAGGCCGAGGAGGAGCCACCCAGAGUCUCCUGGGACAGCGCUCAUUUCCCAAAACGGAGGCUUACUCCAGUGACAGAAGAGACCCUGCGGGAGGUGGUGAAGUGCAUUGUGGAGCAAGUGGCCCGUGAGCAGCAGGGACAGAGAGAUGCAGAGAAGGAUCUGCAGGGCCGGCUCCAGAGCGAGCUCGCAGUGCUGCGGUGGAGUCAGUGGAGUCGGUCAGCAAGAGAAACACCCAGCAUCUUUUCUCUGUCAGGACCUCAGUAUAGACCUGCACCCCCUCCUGGGCCAAGGCCGGGCAAGGCAGCACGGGUAGGUGGUGUGGGCUCCUGUAAGCACCAUGUCAUAGCUAGCCAUAGCAAGCCACGGGAAGACCCUCUUGGGCCUGUGGGAUGGAGAGCAGCUGGCCGCGGAACUGGAGACCUCUGCACAGACAACCCUGCCAGCCAGCUAUGUGCUCAGGCCAAAGUCUAAGCCCUCGCCUGACUCAGUGCCUGGUCAAUCAGCCCCACAGCAGGCUACCCCAGAUUGGGACUGGCCACAAGGGCUGCAAUUACAUUACAGGGACCAUGAGCCUGCUCUCUCUAGCCACACACGAGCAGAGCCACUCUCUUAUACUG